rnacentral:lncRNA from 1 species
UCUGGACACGCACCGGGUAGGCUUCCGCUGGGUCCCGAGACUUAUAGUAAUGUAUUGGAUUCUUAAUAUAAAAGUAAAUGUAAAUAAAAAUAGUGUAAGAUACUAUAUUUAUUGGACUUAAAGAAGUAAAAUAUAAGUUAGAGCGAUUUGUGCUGAAAUCGGAACGGAAACAGAAAACUUAGAAUUUUUUGUAAAGAACGGGGUUGAUAUUUUAGCAGAAAAUUCACAGUGUUAGAAAAUUAUGAAAAUCUAGGAAUAUGUCGGGAUUAUUUUAUGAGGCUAGAUUUAAAGUUUCAUGUCAUUCCGACACCCGAAAAGUGAAAAAUAAAAUCUGACUGCUAUCUGCUAGAGAUUUUGGAUCGGUAGAGCUUUCGGUGACAAAAAAUGGUCGAAACUGAAAAAUUAAGAUAUUUUCUUUUUAUUAGCUUAAACCAAACCU